rnacentral:rRNA from 1 species
GACGAACCGUGCGAACGUUGUUCGGAAUCACUGGGCUUAAAGGGCGCGUAGGCGGGUUCGCAAGUCAGGGGUGAAAUCUUUCAGCUUAACUGGAAAACAGCCCCUGAUACUGCGAGUCUCGAGGGAGGUAGGGGCAUGUGGAACUUCCGGUGGAGCGGUGAAAUGCGUAGAUAUGCGGAGGAACACCGAUGGCGAAGGCAAUCCCCUGGGCCUGCACUGACGCUCAUGCACGAAAGCGUGGGGAGCAAACAGG